rnacentral:misc_RNA from 1 species
GAUGAAGAACGUAGCGAAAUGCGAUAAGUAAUGUGAAUAGCAGAAUUCAGUGAAUCAUCGAAUCUUUGAACGCACCUUGCACCCUUUGGACUGCUCCAAAGGGUAUGCUCGUUUGAGUGUCAUUGUACUCUCACACUCUCUGAUCCUUUGGAUUUGGGGAGCAGUGGACUUGGGUGCUUGCUGCUUCCUUGUGGCUCACCUGAAAUGCAUCAGUGCAUCUCUCGAUUGGACAUAGUACGGCGUGAUAAGUGUCUUCGCCGGCACCUCAUAUGAGGGUGGCCGAUCGGGAGCUCUGUGCUUUCAAACCGUCUUCGGACAACGCUGACAACUUGACCUCAAAUCGAGUAGGACUACCCGCUGAACUUAAGCAUAUCAAUAAGCGGAGGA